UACGGGCUGUAUCGACAGGCUCAAUUUGCCUGUUCGUCGGCCUACGAAAUAACCACGCGAAAAAUUCUUUCAUUGUACCAUUUACGAUCAUUGCUCUGCCCACUUUUUAUCACUCUUUUAUGGUGAGUGGGACUGAAGUCUUGUUUUACGCCAUAGACUUCUUUGGCGUUUGAAAUUCAGUGGCGUGUUCCGCCACAACUGUUUGGGAUGAGAUUAAGUUGAAAAACGAAAAAGUAUGUCACCGCUAAGCAUAGCUACCAAUGCAAACCAGUCUGUCUUAUAAUAAGAUAGUAGCUCGCUUCCGCCAUUAAACGAAGAUGGGGCGUUUUCUCUGCUACCGGCGGAAAGAAUCUCCUACCGCUGGAAAAAGGUCUGACAUCAGUACCG
rnacentral:misc_RNA from 1 species